UUGUGAUGGCCUUCAGUCACUGGCCAGUCUUCCUCGGGGCCAAGGCUUCACACCCACCACCCUCUGCCCGGAACACUCUUCAGUUGUCACCUGUCACCUUGGCUCAAACAUCCCUCCUCAGAGAAGCUUCUCUGAGUCCCUGGCCGAGCUGCCUGCUCACUCCUUCUCCCCCAUCCUUCCGUUUCAUGCAAAUCCCUUUUAUUUCUUAAUGGCCUCACAGCAGGAUUAUGCGUAACAUCAGUCUCCCCCACUUCCUAAGAGCAGCAAGUCUUGACUUGCCUGCUUCAUGGCCCCAGCACCAGGACAGCUACCAAGGCCCAGAAGCUGCUCAGUUUCACCCUCAAUGACUACAUGGCAAUAGGACAGUACUUGGCUGCCUUCCCCUCUGGUGGGAGAAGAGCAUUUCCAUCCAGGACCAGGAAGCACCCGAUUCCAGAGAAUGAAGCACACCCAGCAGAAGAGACAGCUUGCAGCAUAAAAGACUUCAGUUAGACUCAAGGAGGAACCACGUGGCCAUCAAUGACUUCUCCCAAGGAGGCCUACUGCUCCCCAACUCCCACCUCUGCUCUAAAUGCCACCACGGUCAGCUCUCCUCCAGGAAUUAAAAUGACACCACUGAUACUUCCAUCAAGCAGCAGAUGAAGCUGAGAGCCACCAAACAGCCUCACACUCAUCCAGUGCCCUCUGCCGCGUUCACUCCCAUCUCCAGCACCAGGAAGGCUUUCUGAACUGCCCCUGGCACAUCCCACCAUGGGUGUCAUCCCCCACAGAGCCCACCAGGCAGGGGAGCUGGGGGCUGGCCUUCAAUGGCAUCCCUGUGGCCCAAAGUAAUCACGUGAAUGAGUGAAACUGGAAAGAUAUUUAAAGGACAGUAACAAUAGAUCAAUCCUGCUGGUGUCUACGCUGUGAACAUAAAAUAGGUGAGAGAGGUGGAAGUUUAGCCCAGGGCCCAGAACACAACAGGCACUCAGAAAUUGCAGCCCUGUCUGGGUUGCCUCAGAGCUUCUAGAAGGUUAAUGAGGAAGCUCAUGGAGGCUGUAGAAGCUCCCUUGGGCCAGGAAGAGGGGGCGCUGACUCUGAGGAGCACCCAUUAGAGAAGCAGACCCCACCCACUGCCAGACCCUUGCCUGGCUGGGUCACUCCCUGGUCACUCCUGUUGAGUCAUACCCUCCCUGACUCCCAGAAGAACAAGAAAAAUGGGACACCUACAAAGUCCCCUUGGGUACUCCUGCGCUGAGGCCACACACCUUCCAUGUAAUCUAAGG